UACGAAGUGGGCUAGCGUUGCUCGGAAUCACUGGGCGGAAAGGGUGCGUAGACGGGUCUUUAAGUCAGGGGGGAAAUCCUGGAGCUCAACUCCAGAACUGCCUUUGAUACUGAAGAUCUUGAGUUCGGGAGAGGUGAGUGGAACUGCGAGUGUAGAGGUGAAAUUCGUAGAUAUUCGCAAGAACACCAGUGGCGAAGGCGGCUCACUGGCCCGAUACUGACGCUGAGGCACGAAAGCGUGGGGAGCAAACAGG
rnacentral:rRNA from 1 species